rnacentral:lncRNA from 1 species
AAAAAUGGGUGGCGUGUGUUGGAUGCAAUUGGAGUUGGGAAUGUUCUCAGGACCCAAUUUCUUGAAGUUCAAGGGUAUGUUCUAGUUUUUCUUGGUGCAGAUUUGUUGUAUUUAAUGUUCUAUACAUCUGUUGGUAUGGAGAUUAGCACAUAGUUCAAUAAGUGACCAAAGCAAUAGUUUCAAUUCAAAUCAUCUGGCUUUGAUAAAUGAUACUAUAUUAAAUUACUGUUAAGACUCUAAUGUUUGAAACUGAUAGAUCAUAGUUCAUAGUACAUUUAGCUAAGACUGGACUGGGUUUUGUUUUUAUUUUUUUAUAUUUGAACAACUUCCAUUAGAAAAUAUAAAUGCAAACAGAAAAACAAGCCCACAAAAGAAGGGAGUUUUCCAAGAAAAAGGACUCCAACUAUCCCAAACAAUGUCUAAAUAAUAGUUUCAAAAGGUCUUUGAAAUCAAAUCCUACAAAGGAACGUGAAAGUGAACGAUGGACCUAAUCUGAAAAACACCCUACCAUUACUUAAUUGUUGAUAUCGUAACAAAUUGUUUAUAUUACCAGCAUUGCAGGAUGGUAGUUAAGUCAGAAGAAGGAAAGCAGCUGCGCUCCUUCACGUUUAAGGACGAAGAUGAGAGGUACUUGGUUUUUCUAUAUUUCCUGUUUUUGGAACUGAAUCAGAAAUUGGGUAUUU